rnacentral:rRNA from 1 species
GACAGAGGUGCCGAGCGUUAGGCGGAAUCACUGGGCUUAAAGCGUGUGUAGGCGGGUUUGUAAGUACCUUGUGAAAUCCCACGGCUCACCCGUGGAACUGCUCGGUAUACUGGGUGUCUUGAGCCACUUAGGGGCUACCGGAACAAAUGGUGGAGCGGUGAAAUGCGUAGAUAUCAUUUGGAACGCCAAUGGUGAAAACAGGUAGCUGGGAGUGUGCUGACGCUGAGACACGAAAGCCAGGGGAGCAAACGGG